CCUACGGGUGACAGCAGUGGGGGAUAUUGCACAAUGGGGGGAACCCUGAUGCAGCGACGCCGCGUGGGUGAAGGAGUGCUUCGGCAUGUAAAGCCCUAUCGGCAGGGAAGAAGCAUGACGGUACCUGACUAAGCCGCCCCGGCUAACUACGUGCCAGGAGCCGCGGUCAUACGGAGGGGGCGCGCGUUAUCCGGAUUCACUGGGUGUAAAGGGAGCGUAGACGGCCAAGCAAGCCAGGGGGGAAAGCCCGGGGCCCAACCCCGGGACUGCCCUUGGAACUGGAUGGCUGGAGUGCGGGAGGGGCAGGCGGAAUGCGUGGUGUAGCGGUGAAAUGCGUAGAUAUCGGGCGGAACACCGACGGCGAAGGCGGCCUGCUGGACCGCGACUGACGUUGAGGCACGAAAGCGUGGGGAGCGAACAGGAUUAGAUACCCUUGUAGUC
rnacentral:rRNA from 1 species